rnacentral:rRNA from 1 species
UCGAGCGAACAGAUAAGGAGCUUGCUCCUUUGACGUUAGCGGCGGACGGGUGAGUAACACGUGGGUAACCUACCUAUAAGACUGGGACAACUUCGGGAAACCGGAGCUAAUACCGGAUAAUAUGUUGAACCGCAUGGUUCAAUAGUGAAAGAUGGUUUUGCUAUCACUUAUAGAUGGACCCGCGCCGUAUUAGCUAGUUGGUGAGGUAACGGCUCACCAAGGCAACGAUACGUAGCCGACCUGAGAGGGUGAUCGGCCACACUGGAACUGAGACACGGUCCAGACUCCUACGGGAGGCAGCAGUAGGGAAUCUUCCGCAAUGGGCGAAAGCCUGACGGAGCAACGCCGCGUGAGUGAUGAAGGUCUUAGGAUCGUAAAACUCUGUUAUUAGGGAAGAACAAACGUGUAAGUAACUGUGCACGUCUUGACGGUACCUAAUCGGAAAGCCACGGCUAACUACGUGCCAGCAGCCGCGGUAAUACGUAGGUGGCAAGCGUUAUCCGGAAUUAUUGGGCGUAAAGCGCGCGUAGGCGGUUUUUUAAGUCUGAUGUGAAAGCCCACGGCUCAACCGUGGAGGGUCAUUGGAAACUGGAAAACUUGAGUGCAGAAGAGGAAAGUGGAAUUCCAUGUGUAGCGGUGAAAUGCGCAGAGAUAUGGAGGAACACCAGUGGCGAAGGCGACUUUCUGGUCUGUAACUGACGCUGAUGUGCGAAAGCGUGGGGAUCAAACAGGAUUA